CAACAAACAUGCAAGGUCAACCUGGAUACUGUGUCUGAUCCGGUGUACAUUAUCAUUACCAGUAGAUAAUGGUACAACAUUGCUUGCCUUGCUAACUAUUUAUCAAGUGAGCUGCUAUGAAGCAAUAGGGUUGUAGGUAAGAGCAAUAUUAAUGGGUAAAUCUUGUUCUCCUUUUAGGUUUUGGCUCAAAAAUACCUUCACCUGCAUUGACCGACUUGAGCGUUCCAGGCUCUGCUCAUCCCAAAGUUGGUGAAAGUAGUCUGGUAGAUGCUUCUAGGAGCACAUCCCAAGAUGACUACAACCUAGAAGUGCCUUUGCCUGGGUCCCGCCAUAGCGGCCACAGAAACACUGAGGCUGGACUCGACAAGCCAACCCCAGAGAGCAGCGAGGCUAGCCACCUGGUGGACUAUGAGGAGCUGGUGUGGAUCCAUGUCCCUGACCUUGAGCCGGGCGACUCCUUCAGCUACCAGCAAGCUGCACAGGUCUCCAUGCAAGCCCCCUAACCUCCCAGAUAGGUCUUGUCCUUGCCCCUCCCCAGACGCUUCUCUCUGCCAGGCCAACAACUAUUUGGGGCAUCUGCAAACUUGCAUUUUUAACUACUAUAACACAUGACUCUUUUGUCAAACUUUUACUAUUUGUAUAAUAAAUCUUCAUCUUUUAUUUGCCUCUGUUGCCUUAUACUGAAUGUCAAGGGACUUUGCCUAGGGCAUUGCACUGCUACUGUUAUAGCUGCUAAACUAUGAGUGUUAUGGAUGUGAGUUCUCCUUGGGUCAUGAUGUCAAUCCGUGCAGUCUGCCAACAUUGGCAUGCUAAUGGAUACUGUACUUUUUUUUUUUUGCGGUUAUUGUGGCUUACCCUAGUUGCAAACAAAGUGUAAAAAUCUUUUUUUGCAGAAAUUGCAUCCAAUGUAGGACAAAAACACUUAAUUGAACCCUGAUUUGCCAAGAACGUGUUUUCCUGAAGGGUCUAAAAUUGACCUUACUGAACUAGUGGUACGGUGCUUCAACAGUCAUGACUUUGAAAUCCUGUUUAUCUGGCCAGUUAUGUUCUACCACAGAAUUCUACAGAGAUACAAAAUGGUGUUGUCUCUAACAAGGGCAUAACCGGACUCUAGAAAUUCUAGGGGUUAUCUCACACAGCUGAAUAUAAAUAAAAGGCCAUCCGAUACAGACGGCAUAACUAAAGUUACCAACGCUAAUGGCCAAUUUACUUGAGGGUUAAACUCAAUCCAAGAACCACAGGUUAUUCCCAGAGGUACUUGUUGGUUUGGACUGGAUAAUCUGUUUGUGGAACAGUUUAAACAAAGCAACAUGGUUGGCUAUUUAAGAUAAGAUGUUGUGUUAACCGUUAAAUGUAAUAACUUGAUACUUUUCUAUCUGCCUUGACGUAGAUCUUCUGCCUGAUUGGAGGAAUGUUUUUAUUACUUAAAGGCAAACCUUUCUGAAUAUCCUAAUUCUUAAAACAUUUUCCAGGUAAAGGGGGAUCAUAUGGAUCAUGAUCACAUGUUCUUCUCCUUGUAGCAUUUGGCUGAAAUAAGGAUGUUUUACUCAGAGCCAGAAGGAUCUCGGUUUAAACCCUUCAUUUAGACUAGGAACACUUUAAGUAAAACCCCUAACCCCUACAUAUAAAAUAACAUAUAUAAACAAAUCUCUCAUUGGUCACCCUAGAUAAAUUCAUAUGCUAAAUUACUCAGUAGGUAUUAUUGUCAGUGUACCUCAGAUUGAGGUCAACAGGUGUGGUUAAUUAGUCAUUAAUUGAACUGGAGGGAACAACCCUUUAAAAGAACCAGAGUUGGUUGCGUUAAACACUCAUUUGUGGAGCAGCACCUUAAACAGAGUAACAUGGCUGGACAUACUGUGAGCUCUUUCGGGUUUUUAUGCAUCUCAUGUCUGAUUGGAGGGGUCAUUUCACUACCACUGAAAGAGUUCGGCUCAAACGAUCCAUUCCCAGCAUGGAGUGACCACAGCAGUCCUGGCUCUGCUUAUCCCAAAGCUGGUGAUGGAGGCAUGGUGUUUCCUUAUGGCAGAGCAAUGCAAGAGUACUACGGACAAGAGCCUUCAGCUUGGUCCAAGCAGAACAGUGACGCUAAGGCUGAUGGAGGGGUCUACUCAAAUGAAGGCUCGGAUAUGGAUGCUGGAGACUCUGUCUGGGCCAAGAACGGCGGUAUGGACUCUGGUAGUGACGGUUACUACCCUGUUCCUGAAGGCUACUCUAAGGAGCUAGUCCCCUCCAUGGAGGAGGAGACCCCAGAGGAGGAGGAGCCCGUGUUGAGCGACGUCUCUGACCUGGAUCCGGUCUACCACUUCAGUUCCAGGUCCCGCUACCAGCAAGGCAGACAGGCCUUCUUCCUAACCAGAUACAACCCCGGAGAGCCUACGGUCGGCUCUGCUGACAUGGCAGACUCCAAAAGUAAUGGAAUGGGAAAUGGUAAAGGAUGGCCAGUUGUUGCACAAGAGCCUGGGAAGGGUGGCUACUGAUCAACUGCAAUGUCUUAAUUUAUAAUGGCUGUAUAUGAAUAAAUGUUUGCCUUUGAAACCUAUUUACUCUGCUUUGAUACAGUGUUUGAAGAUGUCCAUAAAGCACUUUUGUGUCUCAACAAACUGUUAUCCUGGAUCCAUUAAACUUCGCUAUUUCAAGUGUCUCUGACCAAACAUUAGGCCCACGGAGUGCCUUCAAAAAUGGAAGUGAAAUGCAGAGUAGUUGGAAGGCCACCAACAUUACAUGUCAAACAAAUUGCAGAGGACACUACUCUUAAACUAGACUAAUUGGGUGUCGUCAGCGCUCUCACGGACAUACAUUUGCAGUUAAUGCUUGCCAAUACUGCGUUCCGGCUAUGGUAUGAUUCGAAAAUGGCGUUUGGAUUAGGCUUUAGGCACCAUAUUUGACGAUGUCUGACACUACAACCUUUAAGAGACGUCAUUGGCCAGGAUUCUCUGGUAAAAGAUUUUUAUUCUCAAUGAGACUUCUGGUUAAAUUUAACAUGGCUUAAGAUAAAUAACUGGCUGCGUGCUAAAGACAUGGAACAAAUGUUUAAUUGGUAUCAAGCAAAGGACAAAAUGUAUACUUCAAUCCCUGCUGAAAAAGUUCAGGGCUAUGUCCCUCAAUGUUGCCAGUAUACCUGUAGGCAUCCUUGAAUUAUGUACCUUACUCCUGUUCAUAAAUAGCAUGUACCUAAAAAAUGUGUGCGAGUGCUAAAUGUGCUAACAUUGAUUGCUAAUAGUCAAUGUGGCUGCUGAUGAAGGUCAACCGGUGUGGUUAAUCAGUAAACAAUUGAACUGGAGUGAACAAUCCUUUAAAGAAUCACUGUCCUCUCUGAGGGGUAUUAGUUUACAGGUCCUGGAUAUUGGUUUGCAGAGCAAACCCAGCAAAACCUUCCAACAAACAUGCAAGGUCAACCUGGAUACUGUGUCUGAUCCGGUGUACAUUAUCAUUACCAGUAGAUAAUGGUUUCGGCUCAAAAA